ensembl:lncRNA
CUUGGGAUGGUGGUUUAGUCCCUGGGAGCUCUGGUGGGGGUCUGGUUGGUUGAUUUUGUUGUUCUUUUUAUGGGGUUGCAAACCCCUUCAGCUACUUCAGUCCUUUCUCUAACUCCUCCAUUGGGGACCAUGUUCUAGGUCCAACGGUUGGCUGCCAGCAUCCGCCUCUGUAUUUGUCAGGCUUUGGCAGAGCCUCUCAGGAGACAACUAUAUCAGGCUCCCGUCAGCAUGCACUUCUUGGCAUCAGCAAUAGUGUCUGGGUUUGGUGUCUGCAUAUGGGAUGGAUCCCCUAAGUGGGGCAGUCUCUGGAUGGCCUUUCCUUCAGUCUCUGCUCCAAACUUUGUCUGUGUAUUUCCUCCUGUGAAUAUUGUUGUUUUCUGGUCUAAGAAGGUCUGAAGCAGCCACACUUUGGUCUUCCUUCUUCUUGGUUGCUAGUUUUACCGUUUAUAACACAUAAAUGUAGCCUUAUUGGUCUUUGGUUCUAUGGAAUUUGGGAGUUUUUAGAAUUAAUUUCAUAAUAGUGUUUGUAUCUUUGGAAAGUUAUUUAGGUAGAGUUCAUUUGAAACCACAAGCACUGUCUUUGAACUCUGGAUGUCUAUGUGUAUGUAUAUGAUGUAUGUGUAUCUUAUAUACAUACACACACACACACACACACACAUAUAUAUAUAUAUACAUACAUCUGAGAAUUCAGGGUUUACAUGAAUUUCGGAAGGUUGUUCUUGAUAUUUUAAUUUCAGUUUUACUUGAUCACAACUUAGUACUUUCUGGACUUCUCCGUAUUCAUUGAGUGAGUGGAUAUUGAGCUCAGCUCUCAUGAUCCAGGCAGCUUCCUUUGGUUUGCAAGCAUCCAUGAUCUGGUGCCCAGAAAAUUACCUUUCUCUUUGUUUGUAAGUGUCAGCUCCAUGUUUUCACAUUUGGUUGUUAUCUGAUAGAGCCCUGAAGAAUUUUGUUUCAUGGAGUGACCCAAAAUAUUUCCUUGGAAAAAGAAUCCCCAUUUCCUUCCCCAACACAAAGAAGUUUCUUGGAGGAGGUAUCCAGUGACUACUUCAGGGAUGGCAUCUAUUGACAAAUAAGCUUCCCUCUUCAGGCAUAAAUGCUAAUAUUUGAAUCUUUUCAAUUUCUGGUCAGUUUUUUGAUUUCUGAAUUUAAAACUUGAGAUUGUCUGGAAGGUAAUCUUAGUAUAUGUGGAUGUAUAGUCCUCUGUCCUGUACUUAAAAAAGAAGAGAUGGCCCCAUGGAAAUACAGGGUUGAGUUCCUUUCUGUGGUCUCAAUGCAUCAUGGGAAUGUAUGGGUACUGUGUGAGGGAGCCAAUGUGUCACGUGAUAGAUCUUAGUUCAUGGCUAACAAAUACUGUUUUACUAGCCAUAGUGUGGUUUGAAUAUUCUUUAUCUGGAGUGGUUGAAGAGUGUUUCAUAUUUGUGAUUUAAAAUUAUGUUUUCAUAUAUAUUGAGAUGACUGGAUAAUGGGAUCCAAGUCCAAACACAAAGUUGUUAGUGUUCACGUCCAUCUUGCAUACAUAGCCUGGAGGUAUGUUGUCCAAAGUUCUCUGGGCAUCUAUAUUGUCCCUGUAACACAUCACCUGGCCUCAGGGGAGGUAUCUUCCUCUGGUGCCAUCAGGUCAGGGUUCGGGUUUUAGCUGGGCAUGGUGGUACACCCCUUUAAUCCCAGCAUCUGGUGCCAUCAGGUCAGGGUUCGGGUUUUAGCUGGGCAUGGUGGUACACCCCUUUAAUCCCAGCAUCUGGUGCCAUCAGGUCAGGGUUCGGGUUUUAGCUGGGCAUGGUGGUACACCCCUUUAAUCCCAGCAUCUGGUGCCAUCAGGUCAGGGUUCGGGUUUUAGCUGGGCAUGGUGGUACACCCCUUUAAUCCCAGCAUUUGCUUUGAUCUCUGAGUUUAAAACAAGCCUGUUCCGUGGGAGUCUCACAAUGAGACUCUAUCUAAAAAGGGAGGUGCAGGGAGGAGGGCUAGGUUUUUUAAUUAUUUGAAUUAGGAAGACUUAUCCUGUAUUUAAAAAAAAAAAUUAGUCCUUGUUAGUCAGGGAGCUGGAGCCCACCCCCUUAAACUUUCAAUAGGAACAAUAAUUCCCACAUCUCGGCAACUCUCCACAAUGUCAGUGCCCAGUUUGAAAUACUCCUACUGCCAUCCCUGUGUCAGAGGGACCAGAGGAACAUCAGAGGCUCAAGAAUUGUGUAAAACACCUGUGUUACAUAAAAGAAAUAAAUUGUUUUAAAUAAGUGAUACAGAGACUCUCGGGGGAUUCAUGAUUUGGUUGCUGCUUGGUCUGGGUCUCAGACAUUGCAACCUCUGUAUCAUCACCCAACUCUGAGCACUUGUGGGUGUGGCUCUGGGGUGAACCGGGCCGAUGAGGAACACUGGGGUAGCAUCUCAGGCCCUCAUGCUUUUCUGAGCUCUUAUUUUACCUAUUAGGAUCCAUGCAUGAAGCCUAACCUGCUCUAUGAAUAGCUCCCCGAUUGGGCUUUAUUGUUGUUGAAGCCUCCGUUUAUCUUCUGGGUUCUCAACAAGGGAAUGCCCCUUUGACAAGGUGAACGGAUCCUCUUGAAGGCCACAAGCCUAUAGUUUCCAGUAGGCAGAAAUUAAAAAUGCUUGUGGUAAAACUGUCCCAAAGCACAAGAUACGUGUUUUGUUUUGUUUUGUUUUUUCUGACAUAGAGGGAAGGGACUGUCUAAAUGUCCAACGAGUUUGCCUGAAGUGAUUUUCGUCCUGACCAUGUGGACUACACAGUUCCCAGGAGGGCCAUUCAUAAAAGUCCAUUGUCUUGAAGGUCCCAUUUUUCCUAUGGAGCUUUAACUUUUGCAUAAACAAUCGAUUGCACCUUAACAGAUGAAACCUUUUUAUAAUGAGUGAGGCAACCCUAGCCACUUAAGUAGUUUUAGGGUUAGCAGAGAUGUAUUUUCUCUUGCAACUUAAUUUUCAAAAUAUACCCAAACUUGCUUGUUGUUCGUGGGCCAAUUAUGGGGUUCGGAAGGGAUGGCUCAAAAUCACAAACUUUUCUUGAAGACCUUCUAGUUUAGUAUAGUAAAAUCUCUGCUAAGAUGGGUUGGGAAAGCUCUCUUCUGAAUUGUUUAGUCAUACUUGCUUGCUAAUUCUGCUUGUUUAGAAACGCGGAAGUUAAAAGAAUUACCUUACAUCCGGGGCACUUGUUCUGUUGCUCAGAAUCGGUCUCGUUCUGCCUAUAGGCCAUACUGACAUUAGUUUAGCCUACAUAGAUGAGGAUUCCGAUAAAAUGAAGCUCACCUGAAGCUCACUUCGUCUGUGAGUGAAAAGUUAGGUCUACCAGAGGGAACAGGAGACUUCUCUUUAAAACCCUUUCUGUCUUUGGCAUGAAAUGGCCCAAUGGCAAAAUCCGUUGUUGGACUAAAUGAGCCAAUGACAAACUUCAUUGUUGGACUAAUGGUUUUAACGUUUUAUCCUCAGACAAGUCAACCCCCACACCAGAGAAGAUACUGAAGCCUGUUGCCACAAACCCGUAGAUCCGAACUUGUGCUGACCAUGCACACAAGCUUGUGUCUAUAGGGUUGUAGAAACGGAAAGAGGGCUGAAGAGGAGGGAACGGAGCUCUUGGGCCACGAUGGAUAAGGUUAUUUAAGAGACGCACUCUCAUACUGCUUCUAACUGGUCUCAGCUGUCAGGUUAGGGGGCUGGGCUGCCCAUGAGGCAGCAAGAAUUCCAGGGAUUCAGACAGCUGACUGCUGACUGUGGAGUAAAUAGGCUCACACAAAACAAGGGUUUGUUUUGUUUUCUGGGAGCCUAAUUGUUCUCAAAGUUAUGAUGAUCUUUCCCAGAAAGUGAAAAGAUUGGCUGACGCUGCCGAUCGGGUUCUGGCUGCAAU